UACCCUCAACUGUUUCGAAAUGGUCGCUA
rnacentral:piRNA from 1 species